AAAGAGGACACGAGAAAGAUGCUAUAGCUCUGGUCCCAUGGUAAGGGAAAACUAUUGGAAGGUCACUGUAUCUGUGAAACUGCAUACGUGACAGAAGAAUAGAAUAAAGCGGAUGGGAAAGCAGAGCAAAUAGCAAACAAGUAACUAUAAGAAGGUGAAAGGAAGAG